CUCUGCUACUUCAAAAAAUAAUUAUUGAGAUACUAAUAAUAAUAUCUAUUUCCUUGGUUACAGUGAAGAUAAAAUCAGUUAAUCCAUGUGAAGUACCUAGAAGAGCACCUGCAACCAUAUCAGCUCUCUCUGUUCCCCAAUCUGCAUGGCAUAUGAUACAUGUUACUCAGAGCCCUCAAAUUUACAAGUAAAACCUCAAUGUUCAAUUCCAGCAGAUGGAAUUUGGAUUGGUUCCAGCUUGCUUCAGGCUGUCCACCUAUAGUACCAACAACCUUAAGGUACCUGUGACCCAAGAAGCAUGAAGCCUGAUGCUGAUGCUGAAGCAUGAAGCACUGAGGGAGUCAAGUUGUUGAGGCAACCCCAGAAGCUGCCAACAUCCUGGAUUGUUACGCAAGAAAAAUAAGUCUCUUAAUGUUUAAGCCACAAUCCAUCAAGAUUUCUGCUAUUUGCAAUUGUCACAAGUCUAAAUAAUCUGGAAAGUCACCUAAA